GGGGAAAUGGUGUAGGGGUUAUCACAUCUGCUUUGCAUCUGCGAAGUGCCUGUAGAAGGUCCGGGGUUCAAUUCCCCGUUUCUCCA
rnacentral:tRNA from 1 species